rnacentral:lncRNA from 1 species
AUAUCUAUUUAAUGACUAGAUUAAGUUUUGAUGUUUUAACAAUAUUGAUGUAUGUUUUUGGUAUUUUUUGACUUACAUUACUAUUGCUUCUUAAUCUGGUUAAUUGCAUAUGCACUAUUCCUUGUUUUAUCUACUGUUUCCAUUUCACGUGCUUUUACACUUGGUAUUGAAUUUCUGUAUUUCAGGAAAUAGGUUCGACAGGAGAUAGUUGCUUCGGUUGAAUGAAUAGGUCGUUAGGAGUUACAUUUUUUUUGUGUCCUUGACUGUCUUGUGUAAUUUUGUCACAGAAUGUCAAAGGGGGAGUUUGUUAGGAAAAUGUUGUAAUUGGCAAUCUGUGACCAAAAGGACUAAUUUGUCGAGUUUGUAAAGUCAAGGACCAAUUUGU